GGGGAACAUCCAACAGCUGAGAUGUUGCCUGAUACAAUCUUCCAACAGAAAACUCUGGAGUUUCCUGCUUGUAGGGCUUAAGCAAGUUCUGCAAGUCUCAUUUCUCCAGAGACACAA